AUGGAGCUCGCCGCCGCGCCUUCCAAUGACGCCCUGCGUCCAGGUCAUCCAGAUCCUGAUUUGGGCGUUUGUUUUUUUGCCCUUGUUUCUGAUUUGGGUGAUUUUUUUCCAGGCAUGGCGAGGGCGCUGGAUGGCAGGAACGGCCGCAUCAAGGAGGCAGCUAGGGACGGUGGCUCCAGGGCUCUACACGCCGUUGCCAGCCACGGGAGGAUGCCGGUGUGUGUUUACCUGCUUGAGAAGCAUGUUCAACGAAAAUGUCAACGAACCUUUGGCCAUAGCUUCUUCCUCUUCUCACAACAACUCUGGCAGCCGCUUAGCCGCCCCAGGAUCGGGACGCCAUCUCUGCCUUCAUCGCCGACCUCCGCUCGAUGGCCGUCCACUUAUCGCCGCCGCUCCCUCCGCCACCUCCCGAGCCGGAUUAGGGGUCGGGUCCCUCCCCGGCCCCAUUUUGUGUUUAUUUUGGGCUUGUUGAGCUGUGCCCUCAGCAAAACCUUUUGUACUCUGUCUUGUGAGACGUGUGUGUGUGGUGUGAACCUUCUUGUGUACUGGUGCUAUGUGGCGGUUUGCUUUAUUUAUAAAGCGGGGCGAAAGCCUUUUUCGGUUUAA
rnacentral:rRNA from 1 species